rnacentral:misc_RNA from 1 species
AACGCACAUUGCGCCCUUUGGUAUUCCGAGGGGCAUGCCUGUUCGAGCGUCAUUUCAAACCUCAAGCUUCUGCUUGGUAUUGAGCGGCUCGCCUUCGGAAACGGAGGCGCCCUCGAAACUCGUGGGCGGUGAUGUCCAGCGUCGUAGCGUAGUCAUAAAACAAUUCCGCUUCCGAUUGCUCCUGGACGAUUCACCCGCCGGGCGAACCGAUGUCCUCUCGGACGUCAAUUUUUCUAAGGUUUGACCUCGGAUCAGGUAAGGAUACCCGCUGAACUUAA